rnacentral:rRNA from 1 species
GACGAACGCUGGCGGCAUGCCUAAUACAUGCGAGUCGAGCGAACAGAUGAAGUGCUUGCACUUCUGACGUUAGCGGCGAACGGGUGAGUAACACGUAAGGAAUCUACCUAUAAGCGGGGGAUAACAUUCGGAAACGGGUGCUAAUACCGCAUAAUAUCUUCUUCCGCAUGGAAGGAGAUUGAAAGACGGCUCUGCUGUCACUUAUAGAUGACCUUGCGGUGCAUUAGUUAGUUGGUGGGGUAACGGCCUACCAAGACGAUGAUGCAUAGCCGACCUGAGAGGGUGAUCGGCCACAUUGGGACUGAGACACGGCCCAAACUCCUACGGGAGGCAGCAGUAGGGAAUCUUCCGCAAUGGGCGAAAGCCUGACGGAGCAACGCCGCGUGAGUGAAGAAGGCCUUCGGGUCGUAAAACUCUGUUAUAAGAGAAGAACAAAUUGUAGAGUAACUGCUACAGUCUUGACGGUAUCUUAUCAGAAAGCCACGGCUAACUACGUGCCAGCAGCCGCCGUAA